rnacentral:rRNA from 1 species
UACGUAGGGGGCAAGCGUUGUCCGGAUUUAUUGGGCGUAAAGAGCGUGUAGGCGGCUUUGCAAGUCCGUUGUGAAAACUCGAGGCUCAACCUCGAGACGCCGGUGGAAACUGCAAAGCUAGAGUCCGGAAGAGGAGAGUGGAAUUCCUAGUGUAGCGGUGAAAUGCGUAGAGAUUAGGAAGAACACCAGUGGCGAAGGCGACUUACUGGACUGUAACUGACGCUGAGGCAUGAAAGCGUGGGGAGCAAACAGG